ensembl:lncRNA
GCAGGACUUGGAUUUAGUAAGAUAUUUACUGUGACAAACAAAAAAGAUCCAAAACAUAAAGUUUAACUUAAUAAAAUAAUAAAAUACAAACAUUUUAAUGACAUCAAUUUGGAACUUUUAAAUUUAUACAUUUGUUUGUAGCCACCUUUGUUUUUUAUUUCUAUUUAUUGCUUCAUUUAUCUUUAUUCACUUCUGUUCUCAGAUGGAUUGCCCUAUGGCCAAUUAUGUUAUGUUUUAUGUAGUGCAGGAGUGAAACUAUGUUUAUCAAAAAGAGUACUACCACAAAUACAUCCUAGAUAAUUAUGUAGAGAUAAAAAAUCUGUGAAAGAAUGUUUAUUAACAUAGUAAAAUAUUCAUAAAUUGAUUUGAAAAGACAAAAUUGAUGGGAAAUCAGGAUGCAAAAUUUGUAUAUUCAUAAUUUUAUGUAGAAAUAUAUACAUUUAAAUUGAAAAAAGUCUGGAAGUUAAUGCAGCACAAUUUUCUAUCUGCUGAGAAUGUUGGGAGCUUGAGGAAAAAGUAAGAGAGAUAUAUCCUUUUAACUUCUCUAUUCCAAAAAGUCCUGUAAUUAACCUGUAUUAAUUAUGCGUUUGAAUAUGACUCAACAUUUCUUUUGAAAAAAGUUUUAUUUAUAAAACUAAAGGAAUUUAGGGUUAAAUUUUAAAGGGUCAUGACUUUCCUUCAUUCAUGUCUAAUCUGAUUUUAUGUCCACAGGUGAUAUGUUCCUUUUGUGCUAUAAAGGAUGCAAAAUCCAGGCUGCCCCUCCGAGAGCGGAGGCAGCGAGAGAGUCCGCGUGUGCCGCUCACCGGUCCGCACCGGGGAGAGCGGAGGGGACCGAGACCGGCACCACCUCCUGGUCCUUGCUCCAGGUUACAGGAAGCCAAUUACAAGAGUCAUCACCACUGUCCCCCAGGGUCUGCAGUAGCAAGAAGCUGGAGUUGGGAACAAGAGCUGGGACUUGAACCCAGCUACUCAGAAAUGGAAGACCUGCAUCUUUAUUGGCAUCUUAAACACUAGGCUUUAGAAUUAAUAUUGAUAUCAGUAAUUAGCACUAGAGAUCAUAACCUACUGUAGUAUUUUUAAUACUUGACUUCCUAUAUGUCUCUCUUCAGAUACUAUUACAAAUAAUAUUUAUAAUCAUUUGAUAAGUCUUUGGUUUGGAGCCAUAAUAUGUCGAUUGUAAGUAUUUUAAAGCAUAUCAAAAUGUAAACUUGUUAAAAAUAAUCUUGUGUGUAAUAGCUUCAUGACACAUUUUUUAAAACAAAAGGAAAGAAUAUGGAAUGUAUGAAUUUUUCAGUUUAUUUAUAAAAUUUAGUAAAUUUAACAAUAAUAGUUUACAUAUAGAGAGAUUUAGCUGUCUGCUAGGUGCCAUUUCAUAUGUUUUUGGUCAUUACUCAUUUAGUCCUCACUUUAAAAUCUGCACUCCCCAGUAGCUCACAAUAGUUAGGGCUGGGCCAGGUUCAAUCUGGUUCACCCACACGAGUUUCAUAAACCUAACUACAUAAGCCAUCAUUUCCUGACCCAUAAUGUGCAUUAGCAGGAAAGUGGAAAUGGGAGCAGAGCCAGAACUCCAACCUAGGUAUUCAGGUGUGAAACACAGAUAUCCUGGCAUUUUAAUUGAUAAGCCAAACACCUACUCCAGGAUGCAUUUUUAAAUAGGAUAGUAAGUGAAGGUCUCCUUUGAGUACAGUUCUAAGGUGGUGCAGAAUUGAGCAAGAAUUGGAACCACACCUGGUGAUUUGAGAAGGAGCAAAGAAAUCAUAUGGAAAAGGUCGACUGGGCCAAGGAAGCUUGAAAGUGCAUUUCACAGAGUUAACUCAGGUGGUUGAGAGCACUUUGGCUGUUUACUUUCAAUGAGCUGGGAAGCUGCUGGAGGAUCUGGGGCAGAAAGGUAAUACUUUCCAACUUAGAUUUCAUAAGAAUCAUUUGAAUAAAAUGUUUUUGUUAGACCA